rnacentral:rRNA from 1 species
UACGGGGGGAGCAAGCGUUGUUCGGAUUUACUGGGCGUAAAGGGCUCGUAGGCGGCCAACUAAGUCAUACGUGAAAUCCCUCGGCUUAACCGGGGAACUGCGUCUGAUACUGGAUGGCUUGAGAUUGGGAGAGGGAUGCGGAAUUCCAGGUGUAGCGGUGAAAUGCGUAGAUAUCUGGAGGAACACCGGUGGCGAAGGCGGCAUCCUGGACCAACACUGACGCUGAGGAGCGAAAGCCAGGGGAGCAAACGGG